rnacentral:rRNA from 1 species
GACGAACGCUGGCGGCGUGCCUAAUACAUGCAAGUAGAACGCUGAAGGAGGAGCUUGCUUCUCUGGAUGAGUUGCGAACGGGUGAGUAACGCGUAGGUGACCUGCCUGGUAGCGGGGGAUAACUAUUGGAAACGAUAGCUAAUACCGCAUAAGAGUAGAUGUUGCAUGACAUUUACUUAAAAGGUGCAAUUGCAUCACUACCAGAUGGACCUGCGUUGUAUUAGCUAGUUGGUGGGGUAACGGCUCACCAAGGCGACGAUACAUAGCCGACCUGAGAGGGUGAUCGGCCACACUGGGACUGAGACACGGCCCAGACUCCUACGGGAGGCAGCAGUAGGGAAUCUUCGGCAAUGGACGGAAGUCUGACCGAGCAACGCCGCGUGAGUGAAGAAGGUUUUCGGAUCGUAAAGCUCUGUUGUAAGAGAAGAACGAGUGUGAGAGUGGAAAGUUCACAGCUGUGACGGAUUCUUGCCAGAAAGGACG